ensembl:lncRNA
GCGUGAGGGUGACCGAUUUAUUUUUAUGCUUUUCUGUGUUCCCCAAAUUCAUAACAAUGAAUGCUGAGAACGACAGCCAGCAUCACCGAGUGCCUAGCUCCGUGUCGAACACCCAUGUCAUGCAACCCUAUGCAGCAAAUACCUCUAUUUUACACGGAGGGAAACGGAUUCAGAAGCAUUGGAAGUAACCUGCCCAGGAUCACAGCUCUGAAGUUAAGGCAGAAUUUCGGGGCCGGUCUGGUUGGUUUCUGGACCUGCCCUCACUCCACCACUACAGACGAGAUUGCAAAGCCCGUAGGCUGCGUGUAAUCCUCCCUCUUCCGCAGCCCCGAAACGCUCAGGAAAGUGUUUUCAGUGUCGUGGUUAUCCGCCCUCAGCCCUCCAGUGGGCCGGGUGCCUCUGCAGAGGUGCUCGUGGCUGGGGAGGGCCUCCCCCCAACCCAGGGCUAACACUGAUUUUCACAACUGAACCCUUUUCCUUUUGCUUCUUAUUGUACAGUCUGCCUUCGCAAUGAAUCCAACCUUGCCAUUUCCUCUUCCACUAUUUUUUUCUCUCCCCGAUUUAAAGACACCAGGUGUGCCGGGCGCGGUUCCAGACUCCGUCUCAAAAAAAAAAAAAAGAGCAAGACUCCGUCUCAAAAAAAAAAAAAAAAAAAAAAGACAUCAGGUGGACUUGGUCAGAGGGCUAUAACAUCGUCCUGCUGUCAGCCUCUCUCCAGCCUUGUCCCAUGACCAACCUAACCAAACUUCCAAAAGAGUUUUUUGUGUCCAAGAAGUGACCGAGCUCCACAACCCCUUAUGCCUGUGCGUUCAGAGGAUUUGUGACUUUUUUUUUGAGGUGGAGUCUCGCUCUAUCGCUCAGGCUGGAGUGCAGUGGUGUGAUCUCGGCUCACUGCAAGCUCCGCCUCCUGGGUUCGCACCAUUCUCCUGCCUCAGCCUCUUGAGUAGCUGGGUCUACAGGCGCCCGCCACCAAGUCCGGCUAAUUUUUUCUAUUUUUAGUACAAACGGGGUUUCACAGUGUUAACCAGGAUGGUCUCGAUCUCCUGACCCCGUGAUCCGCCCGCCUCGGCCUCCCAAAGUGCUGGGAUGACAGGUGUGAGCCACUGCGCCCAGCUGAGGAUUUGUGACUCAAAGUCCACACAUUUGGAUGUGUUUGGGAAGAGUUUUAAGAUGUAGUCCUAUUAAUAUUGUCUGAGAUAAUUUAAAAUUGUUUCCUGGCAAUUCAUCAGAAGCAGUGUGGGGUGUUGGCAAGAGGCCUCCUCUGGGAGAAGAACACUGGGUUCUGUCCUUCUCAGCCUAUGACCUUAAGCAAGUUGUUAACUUCCCCAAGCCUCAAUCUUCUCAGCAGUAAAAUGGGGAUGAUAAUUGUUUGCAAAGCAAGGCUAGUAUCAGCCUUGGGUUUCCCACAGGGUGGUUAUAAAGAUAAAAUGCAAUAAAUGUGUGUGAGGGCAAUUGAUGAGCCAGGAAGCCUUGGCAUCCAGAGUUAUGACUAGGAUGUCAUGGGAAAUGAGGGUAUGGGAACCGAGUAUUGAUGCAUUUAUUCAAACUCAUCUGUUUAACAACCGUGCUUUGAAGGCUGGCUGCGUCCCAGGCCCUACAGGUGAACCGUGACUCUCACUUUCAGCCCCGGCUGUAGUGGCAGGCAGCAGAGGCUCAUGUAGCCUCAAGCAAUAGGGGUUUUGUUUAAGGAUCCGGGUGCCCCAUGGUUUGGGGGUUUUGGUUUUGUUUGGGUCCAUGAUUUGGAUUCAAGAAGAAGGAUCUGUAGGAGAGCGGCCUCCCGGGUCUGCUUUUGCCCUCAGAGCCUGCAGCAGAGCAGGACGUUCGCCUUCCCUUCUCCACCCUGUGUGUUCUUUCUGUGCUUCUAACUGCUGCUUGCUCAUUUGUACCUCCGCGUCACCCCUCCUC